rfam:Brassica napus, WGS project CCCW01000000 data, contig: 6809
UCGUGCCUGGCUCCCUGUAUGCCACAAGUAUAUACCGAUCUCGUUACGAAAUCUAUGGCUAGUGGCGUACAGAGUAGUCAAGCAUGA